UACGAAGGGGGCUAGCGUUGCUCGGAAUCGACUGGGCGUAAAGGGUGCGUAGGCGGGUUUUUAAGUCAGAGGUGAAAUCCUGGAGCUCAACUCCAGAACUGCCUUGAUACUGAAAGUCUUGAGUAUGGGAGAGGUGAGUGGAACUGCGAGUGUAGAGGUGAAAUUCGUAGAUAUUCGCAAGAACACCAGUGGCGAAGGCGGCUCACUGGCCCAUAACUGACGCUGAGGCACGAAAGCGUGAGGAGCAAACAGGG
rnacentral:rRNA from 1 species